UUUAGCUGUAUCGUUCAGAUACCUUUGUUUAGCUGUAUCGUUCAGAUACCUUUGUUUAGCUAUAACGUUGAGAUACCUUUGCAUUUCUAUGUUCUUCAAAACCUUUGCUUUUCUAUAUCGUUCAGAUUGCUUUGUUUUUCUAGUUCGUCCAGACGGCUUUGUUUUCCUAGUUCGUUCAGACGGCUUUGUUUUCCUAGUUCGUUCAGACGGCUUUGUUUUUCUAGUUCGUUCAGACGGCUUUGUUUUUCUAGUUCGUUCAGACGGCUUUGUUUUUCUAGUUCGUUCAGAUGGCUUUGUUUUCCUAGUUCGUUCAGACGGCUUUGUUUUUCUAGUUCGUUCAGACGGCUUUGUUUUUCUAGUUCGUUCAGAUGGCUUUGUUUUUCUAGUUCGUUCAGAUACCUUUGUAUUUCUAGAUACCGCUGUUUUUCUAUAUCGUUUCAGAUACCUGCAGUCCUCUGCACCUCUCUGAUUCAGAGGGGUUGGGUUAAAUGCCUUGCUCUGCAAGGGCUGCGGCUUUUGUGGAGCGAUGGGUAAUGAUGCUUCGAGGGUGGCUGUUGUCUAUGGGUGCAGAGGGUCCUUGGUUAGAACCCAGGUAGGGGUGAGGAGAUGUACAAAACUGUUACACGGGAACUAUUUUAAUCAGGAUAAUCUCCUCUUUGUAAUUAUGUAAAUCUGGGCAGCGAGCUAAUUUUUCAUCGAUCGCUAGACCAGAAAUAGUUUCGAUUUUUCUCUACUUUUUCAUUACGCAGACAUAAGCACAGUUGACACCAUCGAGGUGUGGAUGUUUACUUUCUACACAAGUAGUUUUUUUCCAGUUUCAUACGACGAACAGUUUGUAGUGGUAAAAUACAGAUAGAUACAUUUAUGGAAUUCUAAGCAUCACUCCAGUCCAAACCGGCUCUGCGAACGUUCGAUCCCCUUCAUUUGCUGUUCCCGUUUAGCCAACGUUCUGAAGCCGUUUUUCAGCCUUGGGUGAAUUUAACUCGUUCGUCCAGCCUAUAGAUGGCCAGAGCGAAUUUUACGAAAGCAUCCGAAUGUCGAUUGAGAAAGCACAACACCUAUACCAUUUAGCUAAGCUAAGAAUGACAAGAAUAAUCAAGUCAAUAAACGUUGUAGUUAGCCUAUAGUAAAUAUACUGGCAAGUUUGAUGUAUAACUACUAACGUUAGGUAGUUAGCUAACAUACUGGUACAUACUGCUGUAAUGAUAUGCUAUGUGGUCCGUAAGGACGGCGUAGCUAACAAAUUGUCAGCCAACAUAACGUGUAAGAUAACUUAUUUGAAAAGUAAGUACUUUAUUACAUUGAGCAGCAAGCUACCCCUUGGUCGUUAGGGAAAAUCUGGUCUGUGAUAGGAGGUGGGUUUUUCGCACCUAGCUUGGCUAUUAGACUAUUCUUUAGUAAAGGUUGAAUAGUCUAUUGUUCAGCUACUAGCCCCCCUCCCCAACUUGCAACAAAUUGCUAUUCCCAUCUCAUUCCUUUCCUCUUCCACGCGUCAUAAUUCUGCUCCUGAGUGGCUCGCUUGUGGGCGUGCUGGCAGGAUAUGGCAGUGUCUUCGGUUGUGCAUCAAGAAUUCUGCAUACAGUAGCACGUUUGUAUGAAGGUGUGGUUAUUCACAGGCAAAUUGUUAUGCUAUGGAGGUACAUUUGUGUCUUUUUGUCAAGAGCAAAACCUUUUUAAUUUUCAAUCAAAAAGAAUUGUUCUAGAAGCAACUUUUUUCCGACACAAAGGAAGUCAAAUCGGACACCUACAAAGAUGGCAUCUCAGGUAAGCAGCACUGGGUGUAACGGUUUUCGUAGGUGGAAGAAGGUGAGGACCAAGGUGCAGCGUGGUACAUGUUCAUCCUUUUAAUAAUGGAACUGAACACUGAUUAACAAAACACAGAGAACAACCGAAACAGUUCUGUCUGUGCAGACACAAAAAACAGAAAGCAAACACCCACAACCAAAAUGGGGAAAACAGGCUACCUAAGUAUGAUUCUCAAUCAGAGACAACGAACGACACCUGCCUGUGAUUGAGAACCAUACUAGGCCAAACACAUAGAAAUAUAACAUAGAAAAAAGAACAUAGGACUACCCACCCCAACUCACGCCCUGACCAACCUAACACAAAGACAUAAAAAGGAACUAAGGUCAGAAGGUGACACUGGGCUGUAUUGACGUAUCCUAAAAAUGACAUCUGCUGCUUUAGAUUGAACGGUCAUAUAUCUCAGUUAUUGUUUUCAUAUCUAUAAAACAUCAACUGUUUUCUUUACUUUCAGAGAGCGAGCUGAUCAAUGGGUCGAAAAUGUAGAUAUUGCCAGAUGUUCACUGUCUGAGGAACAGGCUGUGGAAGCUUUAUAGCUGGCAAAAGUGUCCAUAACCAGAGGUUAUAUCAGCUCUUUUGGUGAACCCCUUCCGCAUCUGAACUGUCUGACACAGAGGGCACAGCAUGUUCAUAGGUAUGUUUUGAUGUGAGAGAGGAAGCCAGUCCCGUCAUCGCCACCUCAUCCGCUCUUAAGAAAAACUUUGGGCCAACUGAGGGCCCAAGGCUGGUUAGGAGACACUGCAAUUGUGGUGAACUGAGAGAAUAUUAGGGUAGCACUGUAAUUCAUGAAUCAUAUGCUGUCUGCUGCUGUUUUUACCUCUUUCCCUUUCUGUCUUCUACACCUAUCUCCCCACCUCGUCUUUCUUCCUCCUUUCAUAAUGCACACCAUAUGUGCAUUGAAGUACAGAUUGAACUUGUAUUUAUAAUAUUACAAUUCUCAUAAAUAUAAUUCAUUUAUGUAUUUAUAACACCUGGAUAAUGAACUUCUUUCAAUAAAGUACUUCACAUUC